UUGACCUCAAAUCGGGUGAGACUACCCGCUGACUUAG
rnacentral:rRNA from 1 species